UAGUAUUUUACAAUAUUAUAUUCUAACUCUUAUCAACCUUUGAAUAAAUUUAUAUAUAUAUAUUUUUUAAUUUUCUCCGAAAUAUGAGACUAUUAAUCAGAUUUUAAAAUUUUUAGUCAACUGAUUAAUUAUUUUUAUAGAUUUAAGUUAUAACCAAACAGCCAUAAGUGACCCGUUGGGAAAAGAAACUGGUCUAGGUGAACCAAAGUCAGGCCCACGUGGCCAGCCACCAUAUUCACAAUCCACUCACAAAACCACACUGCAAGAGAAGAAAUGGGCUGAAACAAAAUCAGCAGCAACCGAGAGUUAGCCCAAUUGAAAAUAAUAUUCAAAUUUUAAAAUUAACGUGGGACCCAAUUGUUAGCAGAUUCAGUUUCUAUUUUUGUAAUCUGGGUUUUGCUUUGCCGGCAAUGGACAACCGGAGAUACGAACGGCGCAGGGGAGCCUAAACCAGCAACCACUGUUACACCAAUUCUAGCCAUACCCAAACACAAUUAAAUCCAAGCCAAACAAGCACAAACAUCACCACAAAAUUUGAUUCCACAAUCUGCCAAGAACAGAGGUCCGACCAUGGAAAUCGAUAAACUCCGGCGAGAGACCAAAAUCAGAACACAGAUUUAAUGUUCAGAUUUCAGGGUAGGGGGGUUCAUAUGACCCCUUCCGCCUCUGCUCCUCGCCGCCUGCUGGCUGGCUGCUGCU
rnacentral:lncRNA from 1 species